GUGUCAGCCGCCGCGGUAAUACGUAGGGGGCAAGCGUUGUUCGGAUUUACUGGGCGUAAAGGGCGCGUAGGCGGCGUGACAAGUCACUUGUGAAAUCUCCGGGCUUAACUCGGAACGGCCAAGUGAUACUGUUGUGCUAGAGUGCAGAAAGGGCAAUCGGAAUUCUUGGUGUAGCGGUGAAAUGCGUAGAUAUCAAGAGGAACACCUGAGGCGAAGGCGGGUUGCUAGGCUGACACUGACGCUGAGGCGCGAAAGCCAGGGGAGCAAACGGGAUUAGAAACCCCCGUAGUCC
rnacentral:rRNA from 1 species